CUCAGUGAAGAAACUCUGAGAUAAGACAAAUGGUUCAAAUGACCUUUGAAAAGAUCACCAUCUCUCAGCUCGCCUGAGAGAGGGAAAGCAAGAGGGAGAGAGGGGAUAGAGAGGAGAGCUAUUUCUAUAUAGUGAGGGAUAAAAGUGGAUUCCCAAACUGCGUGAGUGUGUGCCCUAUUCGUCUUCCCCCCUCCGAAUGAUUUCUGCUCCACUUGCACAAGCUAAGUUUAUUUGUCUCUGUCUAGGACUCAAGAGAAGAGGGAGAAGCAGAAGGGUUAAAGUCUGCAUUUGUUACUCAUUAACUUACACUUGUGUGAUUUUCUUUCAUUACAAUUUUUAAUGAAGAACUUAAGUUGCCCCCUCACUCCAGAGGACCUCCACCCCGCACGGCUAAGCUGCUCUGCUCUGCAGGCCACAUGGGCCGUUCAUGGUGCUCAUUACUGUCCGGGUCCGAGGAGAGUCAGUGUAGCUAGCUACCUCUAAGUUGUAUUCUCAAUCCCACAAGCCAUUCAUCUGUGUUUGAAAUUUAUGGAUUGGUCCCCACUGUUCCAGAAGAUCGGGCGUAAAGAGGAAGAAAGAUAUCUCAUAACAAGGCGGCAUGGAGGCGAGGAGUGCGGUGUCACGCACGCCGUGCUGCAACCACCGGGAAUGAACUGACAGGCCAUGGUGGAGCACACGGCCAGAAUCAGAAGAUUAUUGGCCGCACUGAGAAAACGUGGACCGUUUUAUAGGCUGAAAAUAUUGGCAGGGGAAGGCAUCCUUGUGAGCCUCACAAGGUGGUCCAGGAAGCAACAGGAUCUGGUCUGCAAUGAUCCCGUCCGGAACUCCUGCCCCAGAGGCUCGGGUGUGAUACGGGAAAUCCCUUAUUCAAAGCAGUUUGAAACAGAGGACUUCCCAUGAGGCAAAAAACCAUCCACGUGAUUUUUACGAUGUCCGAUCCCCCCAUGGCACGAGCAGGCGCUGCUAGCUUCACAGAGCAGGCAGACAGGUUGGAGAGAAGGUGGACGCAACAUUUUGACCCAACGACAGAUAGCAGGAGGGAGCAGUCACAAACCCGGAGAAGCCGGUCACAGGAAAAAGACAGUGUUUUACAGUGAGUACUUUGUCCAGUGUCCAGGGGACAGUUUGCUCCCUCAAACAGUCAUUCCCUGGUUUUCCUGUCUCUGGCUGUGUUAUGAGACCUGUGAAUCAACAAGAACAGAGCAAACAUGAGACAGUUGUUACAAGACACAGUCCUUCUCAGCUCAGAGAGAAGAGAAAUCACUUCUGAAGAUGUAUUUAUGCAAAAAGGCAGUUCGAUAAGUCAAUGUUUUGUAUUCCAUUUCUCUUUCCCAUAUAUUGAGCACAAUGUUUGACACCAUAUAAAUGAAAAAAAUGAUCCUGUCUUGUCAUCUCCCAUACAGCAGCACAGUAAAUCUUUUGUUUAACAAUUCAGAAAUUUGAUACAUAUCUAAGUCUUUGGAAUUAAAGUUUGUCUUUGCAGUACAAACACA